GAAAGUAAAAGUCGUAACAAGGUUUCCGUAGGUGAACCUGCGGAAGGAUCAUUACCGAGUUAGGGUCUUCUAGGCCCGACCUCCCAACCCUUUGUUUACCAAACCUAUGUUGCUUCGGCGGGCCCGUCUUUAUUGACCGCCGGAGGACUGUCCGUUAUAGGCGUCCUCUGGCCCGUGCUCGUCGAUGGCCCAACCCCUAAAGCUCUGUAUAAAUCGUGUCAUGAUUGUCUGAGUACAGUGAUUUGAAUUAAAUAAAAACUUUCAACAACGGAUCUCUUGGUUCUG
rnacentral:misc_RNA from 1 species